UUGUUAUUUCCCAUCUUCUUUGCAUGAAAAAUUGUGUGGAGUGUUGCUCAUGAGAUCAUAUGUUGCUUAUUGUGGAGUGAGAGGAUUGAAAAUGAUGUGAAAACAGGGGAUGGAAUGAGUUUAUGAACCAGAGUUUGCUGGAAAUUUUACCAGCAACUUUAUCUUGAUUUUGACCCCAUUUAAUGAUGGAACUAGGAAUUGUCAUAGAAGAGUUAUUUGUUCCUCUAUGUGUUAUCUUUACGUGGGCUUUUGAAUCACUCAAUUUGAAGUUGUAUAUUGAGAGUUAUGGCCAAAAGA
rnacentral:lncRNA from 1 species